rnacentral:rRNA from 1 species
GACGAACGCUGGCGGCGUGCCUAAUACAUGCAAGUUGAGCGCUGAAGGUUGGUACUUGUACCAACUGGAUGAGCAGCGAACGGGUGAGUAACGCGUGGGGAAUCUGCCUUUGAGCGGGGGACAACAUUUGGAAACGAAUGCUAAUACCGCAUAAAAACUUUAAACACAAGUUUUAAGUUUGAAAGAUGCAAUUGCAUCACUCAAAGAUGAUCCCGCGUUGUAUUAGCUAGUUGGUGAGGUAAAGGCUCACCAAGGCGAUGAUACAUAGCCGACCUGAGAGGAUGAUCGGCCACAUUGGGCCUGAGACACGGCCCAAACUCCUACGGGAGGCAGCAGUAGGGAAUCUUCGGCAAUGGACGAAAGUCUGACCGAGCAACGCCGCGUGAGUGAAGAAGGUUUUCGGAUCGUAAAACUCUGUUGGUAGAGAAGAACGUUGGUGAGAGUGGAAAGCUCAUCAAGUGACGGUAACUACCCAGAAAGGGACGGCUAACUACGUG